AGGGUCAUAGCUUGGUGUUAGAGCAUCCUCCUUUUGUUCAGAAGGUCUCGGGUUCAAUCCCUGAUGACUCCA